rnacentral:rRNA from 1 species
AUGGUAGGAUAGAGGCCUACCAUGGUGGUAACGGGUAACGGGGUGUUAGGGCACGACACCGGAGAGGGAGCCUGAGAAACGGCUACCACAUCCAAGGAUGGCAGCAGGCGCGCAAAUUACCCAAUCCCGACACGGGGAGGUAGUGACAAUAAAUAACAAUACGGGGUUCUUUAGGAUCUCGUAAUUGGAAUGAGUACAAUUUAAAUCUCUUAACGAGGAACAAUUGGAGGGCAAGUCUGGUGCCAGCAGCCGCGGUAAUUCCAGCUCCAAUAGCGUAUAUUAAAGUUGUUGCAGUUAAAAAGCUCGUAGUUGAAUUUCGGGGUUAGUAGGUUGGUCAUGCCUCUGGUAUGUACUGGUCUCACUGAUUCCUCCUUCCUUAUGAACCGUAAUGCCAUUAAUUUGGUGUUGCGGGGAAUUUGGACUGUUACUUUGAAAAAAUUAGAGUGUUUAAAGCAAGCUAACGCUUGAAUACAUUAGCAUGGAAUAAUGAAAUAGGACGUUCGAUCUUAUUUUGUUGGUUUCUAGGAUUGACGUAAUGAUUAAUAGGGAUAGUUGGGGGCAUUAGUAUUCAAUUGUCAGAGGUGAAAUUCUUGGAUUUAUUGAAGACUAACUACUGCGAAAGCAUUUGCCAAGGAUGUUUUCAUUAAUCAAGAACGAAAGUUAGGGGAUCGAAGACGAUCAGAUACCGUCGUAGUCUUAACCAUAAACUAUGCCGACUAGGGAUCGGAUG